rnacentral:rRNA from 1 species
AGAGUGAACGCUGGCGGUAGGCCUAACACAUGCAAGUCGAACGGCAGCACAGGAGAGCUUGCUCUCUGGGUGGCGAGUGGCGGACGGGUGAGGAAUACAUCGGAAUCUACCUUUUCGUGGGGGAUAACGUAGGGAAACUUACGCUAAUACCGCAUGAGACCUUCGGGUGAAAGCCGGGGACCUUCGGGCCUGGCGCGGAUAGAUGAGCCGAUGUCGGAUUAGCUUGUGGCGGGGUAAAGGCCACCAAGCGACGAUCCGUAGCUGGUCUGAGAGGAUGAUCAGCCACACUGGAACUGAGACACGGUCCAGACUCCUACGGGAGGCAGCAGUGGGGGAAUAUUGGACAAUGGGCGAAAGCCUGAUGCAGCGACGCCGCGUGAGGGAUGGAAGGCC